GAUGAACGCUGGCGGCGUGCUUAACACAUGCAAGUCGAACGGUGAAGCAGAGCUUGCUCUGUGGAUCAGUGGCGAACGGGUGAGUAACACGUGAGCAACCUGCCCCUGACUCUGGGAUAAGCGCUGGAGACGGCGUCUAAUACUGGAUAUGAGCUGCGACCGCAUGGUCAGCAGUUGGAAAGAUUUUUCGGUCUGGGAUGGGCUCACGGCCUAUCAGCUUGUUGGUGAGGUAAUGGCUCACCAAGGCGUCGACGGGUAGCCGGCCUGAGAGGGUGACCGGCCACACUGGGACUGAGACACGGCCCAGACUCCUACGGGAGGCAGCAGUGGGGAAUAUUGCACAAUGGGCGAAAGCCUGAUGCAGCAACGCCGCGUGAGGGAUGACGGCCUUCGGGUUGUAAACCUCUUUUAGCAGGGAAGAAGCGAAAGUGACGGUACCUGCAGAAAAAGCGCCGGCUAACUACGUGCCAGCAGCCGCGGUAAUACGUAGGGCGCAAGCGUUAUCCGGAAUUAUUGGGCGUAAAGAGCUCGUAGGCGGUUUGUCGCGUCUGCUGUGAAAUCCCGAGGCUCAACCUCGGGUCUGCAGUGGGUACGGGCAGACUAGAGUGCGGUAGGGGAGAUUGGAAUUCCUGGUGUAGCGGUGGAAUGCGCAGAUAUCAGGAGGAACACCGAUGGCGAAGGCAGAUCUCUGGGCCGUUACUGACGCUGAGGAGCGAAAGGGUGGGGAGCAAACAGGCUUAGAUACCCUGGUAGUCCACCCCGUAAACGUUGGGAACUAGUUGUGGGGUCCAUUCCACGGAUUCCGUGACGCAGCUAACGCAUUAAGUUCCCCGCCUGGGGAGUACGGCCGCAAGGCUAAAACUCAAAGGAAUUGACGGGGACCCGCACAAGCGGCGGAGCAUGCGGAUUAAUUCGAUGCAACGCGAAGAACCUUACCAAGGCUUGACAUAUACGAGAACGGGCCAGAAAUGGUCAACUCUUUGGACACUCGUAAACAGGUGGUGCAUGGUUGUCGUCAGCUCGUGUCGUGAGAUGUUGGGUUAAGUCCCGCAACGAGCGCAACCCUCGUUCUAUGUUGCCAGCACGUAAUGGUGGGAACUCAUGGGAUACUGCCGGGGUCAACUCGGAGGAAGGUGGGGAUGACGUCAAAUCAUCAUGCCCCUUAUGUCUUGGGCUUCACGCAUGCUACAAUGGCCGGUACAAAGGGCUGCAAUACCGUGAGGUGGAGCGAAUCCCAAAAAGCCGGUCCCAGUUCGGAUUGAGGUCUGCAACUCGACCUCAUGAAGUCGGAGUCGCUAGUAAUCGCAGAUCAGCAACGCUGCGGUGAAUACGUUCCCGGGUCU
rnacentral:rRNA from 1 species